rnacentral:rRNA from 1 species
AUACGGAGGGUGCAAGCGUUACUCGGAAUCACUGGGCGUAAAGCGCGCGCAGGCGGCUAUUUAAGUUGGAUGUGAAAGCCUACGGCUCAACCGAAGAACUGCAUCCAAAACUAUUUAGCUAGAGUGUGGGAGAGGAAGAUGGAAUUAGUUGUGUAGGGGUAAAAUCCGUAGAGAUAACUAGGAAUACCAAAAGCGAAGGCAAUCUUCUGGAACACUACUGACGCUGAGGCGCGAAAGCGUGGGGAGCAAACGGGAUUAGAUACCCUUGUAGUCC